rnacentral:lncRNA from 1 species
GCUGUAAAAAUGCUGCGCUAUGCAAAUCACCUCAACCAUUUAAGUCUUUGACACUGCCUACAAAAAUAGCUGCCCAUAAAAGAGAAUCAGAUGCGGUGAAUAAUUCACAUGCAUGCCCUUGUGUGGGCGGGAGCUGGGUGCUGUUUGCUUUGACGUGGUGAAACCCACAGUUAGAAUCCAGACUUCUACCUAGAAUCUCAGUCUGAACACUUUCAAGGCAUUGACAGUCGCAGAACUGAAAUGAAUGAAGGUUCUAGUCACGGAGCCGUGAGUUGCCAUAGUUUUUGAUGACUUAUUUUUAUUUUUGUUCUCUCCUUACCCCAAGGGGCUUGUCCUGUGCAUUUAACCUUGACACCUAUGAAGUCAUGCAUUUCCAGAGAACCUGGAGGACUGCAGGCACCAAAGAAUGAGGGUAGAGGUAUGCAAUGAAGACAAUGUAACAGCAAGA